UAAAUAGGUAAAUUCUACUCUACCCUUCCUAUAAUAACAUGUAUAUUACCCUCUGUGACAUGUCAUCUUUUAAUUGGUUGCUAUGUUAACUAUGCUUAAACUAUUGGUAAUUAAAUUAUAGCCUAAAGUGGGUAAUUAUAUAAUUUACUAAAAUAUUAAAAAUUCAGUCUUUGAUUCUUCCCCAAAUCAUGCUCCCACACAAUGAACCCUAAUCUUCUGUAUUUUCUCCCCCGCUCCAGCACCAUCGUCACCACCCGAGCAUAACCGCCUCAUUGGGUGCCCCAUUCUCUCCGUCUGUCGUGCCAUCUCCAUGCUGGAAAGCAUCGCCACCGCCGUCGUCACAAGCAGCGCCGCCUUCCUCACGGUAUCCUUUCCUCUCAUGAAAUUGCGUUGCAGAAUCCCUUAUCCACUUUGAAAUAACCACCAAGUGUGAUGAACAUGAAUCAAAUGGCUUCUUUAACUUAUUCAUCAUCUUCAUCCUUCUCAACAAAGCUUCCUCUUCAUUCCUCAACACCUCUAAAAAGAACAAGAAGAAGAAGCAACCACGAUUUUCUAAGAAUGGUGACUCGUUCCUGUCUCGAUGACAGUUCAGCACUUCUCUGAGCAGCUCAAUACAUUGUAGACACAUAUGUGAAAAGUGAAAUGGUUGUAGGAUUGGGGUUUGGUCAUGCUUCUUGUAUGGCAAUUCAGCAUUUGGGUCGCCAGCUUCGCACCGGUAAUUUGAAGAACAUAGUAGGGAUUCCCAUAUUGAUUUUGCUUUUGAUGAUGCUGAUGCUAUAAAAGAAGGGACACUUGUUGCUAUCAUUGGGCGCCGUCGUCACAAGCAGCACCGCCUUUCUCACGGACUUGGAAGUUGUCCACCAGCAAGUACGAGAUUCUGGAUAUGGAGAUUUAUUGCCAAUAAAUCUUUAUCUAUUGCUGCUUCAAGUAUCCUUCCUCGUUGGAAUUACUUUCAUUUUCUCAGAUUCUUAGGUCCCCCCCCCCCAAAAAAAACACCAAA